CAAAUGGCUCAUUAAAACAGUUAUAGUUUAUUUGAUAGAUGUAUUAUAUGGAUAACCGUAGUAAUUCUAGAGCUAAUACAUGCUUGAAAGCCUUACUCUUGUGGAAGGGCUGUAUUUAUUAGAUAAAGACCAACAUAAAGUGGUGAUUCAUAAUAACUGAUCGAAUCGCAUGGGCAAUGCCAGCGAUAAAUCAUUCAAGUUUCUGCCCUAUCAGCUUUCGAUGGUAGUGUAUUGGACUACCAUGGCGUUAACGGGUAACGGAGAAUUAGGGUUCGAUUCCGGAGAGGGAGCCUGAGAAACGGCUACCACAUCUAAGGAAGGCAGCAGGCGCGUAAAUUACCCAAUCCUGACUCAGGGAGGUAGUGACAAGAAAUAACAACGUGGGGCUUCGUUGUCUUGCGAUUGCAAUGGGUACAAUUUAAAACCCUUAACGAGUAACAAUUGGAGGGCAAGUCUGGUGCCAGCAGCCGCGGUAAUUCCAGCUCCAAUAGCGUAUAUUAAAGUUGUUGCAGUUAAAAAGCUCGUA
rnacentral:rRNA from 1 species